AUUGAACGCUGGCGGCAUGCCUUACACAUGCAAGUCGAACGGUAACAGGUCUUCGGAUGCUGACGAGUGGCGAACGGGUGAGUAAUACAUCGGAACGUGCCCGAGAGUGGGGGAUAACGAGGCGAAAGCUUUGCUAAUACCGCAUACGAUCUCAGGAUGAAAGCAGGGGACCGCAAGGCCUUGCGCUCACGGAGCGGCCGAUGGCAGAUUAGGUAGUUGGUGGGAUAAAAGCUUACCAAGCCGACGAUCUGUAGCUGGUCUGAGAGGACGACCAGCCACACUGGGACUGAGACACGGCCCAGACUCCUACGGGAGGCAGCAGUGGGGAAUUUUGGACAAUGGGCGCAAGCCUGAUCCAGCCAUGCCGCGUGCAGGAUGUAGGCCUUCGGGUUGUAAACUGCUUUUGUACGGAACGAAAAGACUCCUUCUAAUAAAGGGGGUCCAUGACGGUACCGUAAGAAUAAGCACCGGCUAACUACGUGCCAGCCGCCGCCGUAAGAC
rnacentral:rRNA from 1 species